AUUGUGGAGGCUACUGCUGCGUGGUGUGCAGGGAGAGGAAGUGAGACUGCAAGAGCUGGCAGAGAAAAAAGGUUAUUGUAUUGGCUCAUCUGCUGCUGGGCUYGUUUCAGACACGGCCCUGAAGCAGCUCCGAGCCAGAUAUUUUCACAGUUGGAWUCACAGGAGUUUAGAAGCCUUCGGAAAGAGCCCGUUUCCACCCUGGACUGCAGUGUGAUUAAUCGGGAGCUCCAGCGGAGGACGCUUCCAGAGCCAUGCUUCAGUCUGACACGAGCUGCACAGCCGACCAGAGGGCAGGAGCACCUGGACUCACGGCAGGUUUUUACUCUCACAGCAGUGUAAGCGAGGACCUUUGCUAAACUGCUGUGAUAACCCGUGUAAAGGACUUUUGCAGGUUAUAAUCUUUAAUUGUUUGYGUUAUAGACACUUUUACGUCAGGCCCUUU